UGUGUGCAUGUGUUAAUGUCUGAUCUCUGACUGUCUGAUCAGCAGUCAAAAUUGUGUGGACAGUGUAGAAUAUCUGUAAUUUAUAUUGAUGUCUGAUCUAUCUGAUCUCUGCCUGAGAAUGGUGUGGAUGAGGAACUGUAUGACUGUGUGUGUGUGUGUGUGUGCGUUAAUGUCUGAUCUCCGAAUGUCUGAUCUCUGAAAGUCUGAUCUCCAGUGAGAAAUGUGUAGAUGAUGAGGAGGACCUGUAUGACUGUGUGUGUGUGUGUGUUAAUGUCUGAUCUCUGAAUGUCUGAUCUCUGAAAGUCUGAUCUCCAGUGAGAAUGGCAUGGAUGAUGAGGAGGACCUGUUUGACUGUGUGUGUGUGUGUGUUUGUGUGUUAAUGUCUGAUCUCUGACUGUCUGAUCUCAAGUGAGAAUGGCAUGGAUGAUGAAGAGGACCUGUAUGACUGUGUGUGUGUGUGUGUGUGUGUGUGUGUGUGUGUGUGUUAAUGUCUGAUGUCUGACUGUCUGAUCUCCAGUGAGAAUGGCAUGGAUGAUGAAGAGGACCUGUAUGACUGUGUGUGUGUGUGUGUGUGUGUGUGUGUGUGUGUGUGUGUGUUAAUGUCUGAUCUCUGACUGUCUGAUCUCCAGUGAGAAUGGCGUGGAUGAUGAAGAGGACCUGUAUGACUGUGUGUAUGAUGAUGAUGGUGGUGAAGUUUAUGAAGACCUGAUGAAGAUGGAAGCUGGAGCUCCACCGAAACAGGUGGAGACAGACAUCAGGAGCUGCUGCUUGGCUGAGAUCAGACAGACGGAGGAGAAGUACGCCGAGACACUGGAGUCUAUCGAGAAAGUACACGAUUUUCACAACACACACUUAAUAACAGUGACACACUCAGGAACUGCUCAAGUCUAAUCUAACCACGUCAUUUACAAACCUUGUCCAAUAAAUAAACAAAUACGAAAAUGCACAUCUUUUUUUUGUCGUUGUAUGACUGCAGUGAGGUUCAGUCUACCGUUCCUCAUCAGUGUUACAAAUAUUACAUAAAAAUAUCAAUGAAAUAUUAUAAAACAAAAUGAUAAUAAUAUUCUGUAACAAAACGCUCACUAUCGGUUUGAUUUCGUCAGUUC
ensembl:lncRNA